rnacentral:rRNA from 1 species
UACAGAGGGUGCAAGCGUUGUUCGGAAUUAUUGGGCGUAAAGCGCGUGUAGGCGGCUUGGUAAGUCGGGUGUGAAAUCCCUCAGCUCAACUGAGGAAGUGCGCCCGAAACUACUUUGCUUGAGUGCCGGAGAGGAUGGCGGAAUUCCCCAAGUAGGGGUGAAAUGCGCAGAUAUCAGGAAGAACACCAAUGGCGAAAGCAGCUUUCUGGGACGGUACUGACGCUGAGACGCGAAAGCGUGGGGAGCGAACAGG